CUUGACUUUUGUGCUUAUAAGGAAUAUUCAAACUGUAUAUGUGUUAAAUUGACUUUAUGCAAUUGAAUUUGUCAUACAUCUAAUAGCAUAUUCUGCACCGAGGACUUGAUAAAGUGAAGUGGUUUGACUCUAGUUUUAAAAAUCAUUUGUUCAAUAAAUCAAUAAAAAUAUUUAUUGUGUAAUUUUUUGACAUAAAAUAUAGACUUCUUAAUCAAAAAACACAUGCUUAACUCACUAUUUUUUCUUAUUCAUUUUAUCUUGCCUUUCCCUGUAUAUGUAGGUUUCUUAUAGAGGUUGCAUAGUGUACAUGAUAUGAUGAAUUAAUCUGUAGAUAAGAAUCAACUUUGUCCCCUUCUAGCUCCUGGCUGUGAUGAUUGUAAUUUGGCUGUGUUCGCAAGGGCUGGCUCAUCAGGUAGCUCCUGGGUGGAUGGGAGGGAAAUACCAAAUGUACAGGUACAAAAGCACUCUGAGGGAAGAUUAUGUACGGCUGAUUGUUGUCCUUGGUGUAGUUUUGCACAGAAGUGACCAAUUUUAAGUAAAUGAGUCAGUAUAAAGUUUUAGUUUUCUUUCUA